AAACAUUUUACUAUCACAUCUCACUCUCCACGUUCAAAUGGGAAAUUCGUCUCUGACUUUUAAACCACAAUCUCAAGCUCCAUCGCCGCCGUGUCUGAGACUCCAACGAAAGUUGCCGCCGGCGAGCCACGGCCAUAGCUUCUGUCUUGACCCCGAUCUCCAUCUCUCAGCCCCUAAUCUCCAUCCUCUCACCCAAAGAAACCCAAGAUCCCCAAAUCCACACCGCCUCUUCGCGAUUUCCGGCAACCACGGCAGCUACCCUAUCGCUGCCGCCCCUGAACUCUGGUGAAAGAUGCCGCCGGCGAGCCAACCAGAAAUCGAUCUGCCAUCUCCCUUCCCCCACAUGCACCACAAAUCGAAUAUUUUUUGUUUCCUUUCAGCUACAAUUGCAAGUUCCUUCUCCCCAUAUCGUCGAUCCUGCUGAAAAAUACAUAUCUUUGAUAAUUCCAGCAUACAACGAAGAGCACAGACUUCCAGGGGCUCUGGAUGAAACCUUGAAGUGUUGGGAUUUGAAUUUUUUGGUUGGUUGAUGUUUUAUUGCCUUUUUCCUGCAUUAUUUCUAAUGUUUCUGGUCUUGAAGUUGUCAUGGCAAAAGAGCAUCUCAAAUGAAUUUGGUAAAGGGAUCUGCUUCUGAUGUAUUUGGAGGUUUGGAGGUGAAGGGUAUUUAAAUUUUCAGAUGAAUAGGAAGAUGGAGGAAAUUUUAUGAUUCAAGACUGGAAGGCUGAAUUUGUCAUCAGAAUUUGGAUAUCUUUCCUUCGGGUUUUUACCUCUUUUUUUUGAAUGGAUCUCAUCAAUUCAAGCCUUCAGGGCAUAGUUUCUUAAGAACUAAGAAAACUUAAGGGAUUAUCACUGGAUGAAAGUUAAGCUCCAACGUGUUGUAAUGCUACUGAUGACAUGAUGGUCUUAAGACAGCUUAUACAGGCUACUUCAAAGAGAUUCUAUUAGAAAUGCGAAACAUAGUUUAUGAGGAUCUUGGGAGAGGAGAAAGUAGAAAAGGUUUAAUACCCUCGCUCCUUUUGGGAUUAUGAAGGCAUUGUUUGAAUUGUUUGAUUUAAAGCAGUUAUUCUUUUCUAUUAUAUUGUGUAAAAAUAAAUAAGCUCAUUGUUUAGACAGAAUAAAUGAGUGGAAUAAAUAUUGAGGUUCUACUUCCACCAAUAGUUCUUUAUUUUUAUUUUUAUUUUGACA